AUGGAAGAAGAAAUCGCUGCGCUCGUCAUCGACCAGGGUUCCGGCACGUGCAAAGCUGGUUUUGCAGGGCAUGACGCUCCCCGAGCGCGAUCCCCUCCGUCGUCGGGCGUCCCCCACGCCAGGGAGUUAUGGUGGGCGUGGGUCAGAAGGACUCCUCCGUGGGCGACGAGGCCCAGAGCAAGCGAGGCCUCCUGACUCUGACGUAUCCCAUGGAGCAUGGCAUCGUCACCAACUGGGACGCUAUGGAGAAGAUCUGGCACCACACGUUCUACAACGAACUGCGUGUGGCCCCCGAGGAGCACCCGCUGCUGUUGGCCGAGGCCCCCCUGAACCCUAGGGCCAACAGAGAGAGGAUGACUCAGAUCACGUUUGAGACCUUCAACACCCCGGCCCUGUAUGUGGCCAUCCAGGCCGCGCUCUCCCUGUACGCGUCUGGUCAUACCUCUGGUAUUGUCAUGGACUCUGGAGACGGGGUCACCCACACGGUGCCCAUCUACGAGGGCUUCGCCCUCCCCCAUGGCGUCCCGCGUCUGGACCUGGCUGGCCGGGACCUGACUGACUACCCCAUGAAGAACCUCACAGAGUGUGGCUGCGGCUUCACCACCACAGCGGAGCGGGAGAUUGUGCACGACAUCAAGGAGAAGCUGUGCUACGUUGCCCUGGACUUCGAGCAGGAGAUGGCCACCGCCGCAUCCUCUUCCUCCCUGUUGAGGAGCUGCGACCUGCCUGAUGGCCAGGUGAUCACCAUUGGCAACGAGCCCUCCUUCCUGGGCAUGGAAUCCUGCGGCAUCCAGAGACCACCUUCGACUCCAUCAUGAAGUGUGACGUGGACAUCCGCAAGGACCUGUACGCUAACACAGUGCUGUCUGGUGGCACCACCAUGUACCCGGGCAUUGCUGACAGGAUGCAGAAGGAGACCACUGCCCUGGCGCCCAGCACCGUGAAGAUCAAGAUCAUUGCUCCCACUGAGCGCAAGCACUCCGUGUGGAUCGGUGGCUCCAUCCUGGCCUCCCUGUCCACCUCCCAGCAGAUGUGGAUCAGCAAGUAGGAGGAAUACGGUGAGUCAGGCCCCUCCAUCGUCCACCGCAAAUGCUUCUAA